AGCAUGUAUGCAUGGUUUUGUUCAACCAGUGGACAAAACCAGAGAAGAUGCCUGUAAGGGCCUCUUUUCUUUUAUACCAGAGCUCAUAGUUUAGAAUGAGUUUUGAUACAUACAAGGACUACAAUA